rnacentral:lncRNA from 1 species
UUUCCUUGAAAAAAUGGGUUAUUUUUGUAAAAUUUUCCCAAGACAUUGGUUAUUUCAUUUUUUUUUGAAAUUGAAAUAAGAAUUGGGGGGUUUUCAGAAAGAGGAAGAGCAGAGAAACUUUGUUUUUUUCAUUUUUGUUCUCUUCUUCUUCAAGAAUCUUUUUACCCUCUACAACUUGCAUCAUCACCUCCACCUCCCUACCCAUGUGUAAACCUCUGUCCUAAACGCCAUAACCCAAAUCUCCGCCUCACAUCGCCUUUACCUCUUCAUAAAAACCACCACCGAACCUCAUGAAACACAACUCAAAACCUUCAUGAACAAAACUCUAUCACC